AUUGAACGCUGGCGGCAGGCCUAACACAUGCAAGUCGAGCGGAGCGGCGGACGGGCGAGUAAUGCCUAGGAAUCUGCCUGGUAGUGGGGGAUAACGUCCGGAAACGGGCGCUAAUACCGCAUACUAUCAGAUGAGCCUAGGUCGGAUUUGCUAGUUGGUGGGGUAAAGGCUUACCAAGGUGACGAUCCGUAGCUGGGCUGAGUGGAUGAUCAGUCAAACUGGGACUGAGACGCGGCCCAGACUCCUACGAGAGGCAGUAGUGGGGAAUAUUGGACAAUGGGCGAAAGCCUGAGCCAGCCAUGCCGCGUGUGUGGAGAAGGUCUUCGGAUUGUAAAGCACUUUUAGUUGAGAGGCGUUACCAACAGAAUAAGCAACGGCUAACUGCGUGCCAGCAGCCGCGGUAAUAC
rnacentral:rRNA from 1 species